rnacentral:misc_RNA from 1 species
GAUGAAGAACGUAGUGAAAUGCGAUACGUAAUGUGAAUUGCAGAACUCAGUGAAUCAUCGAGUCUUUGAACGCACAUUGCGCCCCCUGGUAUUCCGGGGGGCAUGCCUGUCCGAGCGUCAUUGCUGCCCUCAAGCACGGCUUGUGUGUUGGGCCUCCGUCCUCCUCCCGGGGGACGGGCCCGAAAGGCAGCGGCGGCACCGCGUCCGGUCCUCGAGCGUAUGGGGCUUCGUCACCCGCUCUUGUAGGCCCGGCCGGCGCUUGCCGACACAUCAAUCUUUUUUCCAGGUUGACCUCGGAUCAGGUAGGGAUACCCGCUGAACUUAAGCAUAUCAAUAAGCGGAGGA